UACGAAGGGGGCUAGCGUUGUUCGGAAUUACUGGGCGUAAAGGGCGCGUAGGCGGCCAUUCAAGUUAGGUGUGAAAGCCCUGGGCUCAACCUAGGAAUUGCACUUGAUACUGUUUGGCUUGAGUUCGGGAGAGGUGAGUGGAAUUCCCAGUGUAGAGGUGAAAUUCGUAGAUAUUGGGAAGAACACCAGUGGCGAAGGCGGCUCACUGGACCGACGACUGACGCUGAGGCGCGAAAGCGUGGGGGAGCAAACAGGGAUUAA
rnacentral:rRNA from 1 species